ACGGGGAGCAGCAGGCGCGAAACCUUUACACUGCACGCCAGUGCGGUAAGGGAAUCCCAAGUGCGCAGGCAUAGAGCCUGCGCUUUUGUACACCGUAGGGAGGUGUACGAAUAAGGGCUGGGCAAGACCGGUGCCAGCCGCCGCGGUAAUACCGGCAGCCUGAGUGAUGGCCGAUCUUAUUGGGCCUAAAGCGUCCGUAGCUGGCCGCACAAGUCCAUCGGAAAAUCUACCCGCUCAACGGGUGGGCGUCCGGUGGAAACUGUGUGGCUUGGGACCGGAAGGCGCGACGGGUACGUCCGGGGUAGGAGUGAAAUCCCGUAAUCCUGGACGGACCGCCGAUGGCGAAAGCACGUCGCGAGGACGGAUCCGACAGUGAGGGACGAAAGCCAGGGUCUCGAACCGGAUUAGAUACCCGGGUAGUCCUGGCCGUAAACAAUGUCUGUUAGGUGUGGCUCCCACUACGAGUGGGUGCUGUGCCGUAGGGAAGCCGCUAAACAGACCGCCUGGGAAGUACGUCCGCAAGGAUGAAACUUAAAGGAAUUGGCGGGGGAGCAC
rnacentral:rRNA from 1 species